ACGAAGGGAGCUAGCGUUGUUCGGAGUUACUGGGCGUAAAGGGCGCGUAGGCGGUUAGAUAAGUCAGAUGUGAAAGCCCUGGGCUCAACCCAGGAACUGCGUUUGAGACUGUCUUACUUGAAUUUGGUAGAGGUUAGUGGAAUUCCCAGUGGAGAGGUGAAAUUCGGAGAGAGUGGGAAGAAAAGCAGGGGCGAAGGAGGCGAAAUGGACCAACAUUGACGCUGAGGCGCGAAAGGGUGGGGAGCAAACAG
rnacentral:rRNA from 1 species